AGUGUCCCUGACCUGAUGCCUUAAGUUAUUUAAUAAAAUCACCACGGAGGAUGUUUGUGGGUGAAUAAUAUCAUUGAUAGUGAAUUCUGAUUUGGAAGGGGCUUAAGGACUGAAGUUAGCAACUAACAUAUUCUUCACAUUAUUUUAGACAGACCUUAGAAUAAAUUUUUUUAAUUUCCACCAUAUCCAUGUAUGUAAUGUAAGAUGAAGAUGGAACUCUUUCUGUGCAGAAGCCAACACCUGGGACUGUUUCUGGGGGAAAAAAAAGUUGCUCUUUUGCAACUCUGAUACAAUCCACUUAAGUGAGACAGGAAUCACGUCUCCUCUGGAUGCCUGUGCUGUGAUGGCUGAGGCGAGACUCUCUUCCUGCUGGACACACAGAGAAGGAUAGACUCAUCUGAUCAUCCAGGCUCACUUUUUCUAUAAAAUAUACUGCUAAUUCUCCCCAGAAACAUGUGCAUCUUGAGGUCUUUGCAAUCCCACAGGUGCAUGCAAUAAAAGUUACUCUUGGUGUCAAAAAUUA